GAUGAACGCUGGCGGCGUGCCUAAUACAUGCAAGUCGAGCGAACGGACGAGAAGCUUGCUUCUCUGAUGUUAGCGGCGGACGGGUGAGUAACACGUGGAUAACCUACCUAUAAGACUGGGAUAACUUCGGGAAACCGGAGCUAAUACCGGAUAAUAUUUUGAACCGCAUGGUUCAAAAGUGAAAGACGGUCUUGCUGUCACUUAUAGAUGGAUCCGCGCUGCAUUAGCUAGUUGGUAAGGUAACGGCUUACCAAGGCAACGAUGCAUAGCCGACCUGAGAGGGGGAUCGGCCACACUGGAACUGAGACACGGUCCAGACUCCUACGGGAGGCAGCAGUCGGGAAUCUUCCGCAAUGGGCGAAAGCCUGACGGAGCAACGCCGCGUGAGUGAUGAAGGUCUUCGGAUCGUAAAACUCUGUUAUUAGGGAAGAACAUAUGUGUACGUAACUGUGCACAUCUUGACGGUACCUAAUCAGAAAGCCACGGCUAACUACGUG
rnacentral:rRNA from 1 species